rnacentral:lncRNA from 12 species
GGGAAAUCAUUAUUAUUUAAAACAGAAAUCCUUCAAAACAACCAAAAAAAAAAAAAAUAAACUCACCCGAAAACCCCAGAAAUCCUUCUAUCAAACAGAUCUUUCAAGAAGAUGACAUUUUUUAAACAAUAUAAAAUGUAGUAGUUCCUAGUUAUUUCAGAUGAAGGAAAUCAACCCCUUUGUUAAUUUUUUUCUUGAAAGUUGAGGUUUAAAUAUCAGUUCUACGACAGCGUUGUUAGCACUUGUACCAAGGUGUGUGCCACUCAUCACAUGGAGACGACUCACCUGAUGUUCACUGCCCUCGUCUUGAGAGGAUAAGACAGAUACCAAACCACUCGAGAAGGAAAAUCUGUCUCGUUGGGGCUCCCAGACCGUUGCCACCUGCCUGCCUGCCGGCCUGGGCCCUGAGAGUCCUCUAUCAGUUCAUCUCUUCCGUACCUUGGGUGAAUAGUAUCAACUCACCACAAAUUUCAAGUCGGUCCUGCUCCAUCGUUCCUCCCUCCUCGGUUCUGUGUUUCUUUAUUGCACCUGUAUGAUUUCUUUUAUACAAGAACCAUUUAAAAAUAAAUAAAUAAAAAUAAAAGGAAUUCA